rnacentral:rRNA from 1 species
GACGAACGCUGGCGGCGUGCUUAACACAUGCAAGUCGAACGGAAAGGCCCUGCUUUUGUGGGGUGAUCGAGUGGCGAACGGGUGAGUAACACGUGAGUAACCUGACCUUGACUUUGGGAUAACUUCAGGUAACUGGGGUUAAUCCCGGAUAGGAGCUCCCGUUGCGUGGUGGGGGUUGGAAAGUUUCGGCGGGUGGGGUUGGACUCGCGGCUUAUCAGCUUGUUGGUGGGGUAGUGGCUUACCAAGGCAUUGACGGGUAGCCGGCCUGAGAGGGGGACCGGCCACAUUGGGACUGAGAUACGGCCCAGACUCCUACGUGAGGCAGCAGUGGGGAAUAUUGCACAAUGGGCGGAAGCCUGAUGCAGCAACGCCGCGUUCGGGAUGACGGCCUUCGGGUUGUAAACCGCUUUCGCCUGUGACGAAGCGUUAGUGACGGUAAUGGGUAAAGAAGCACCGGCUAACUACGUG